rnacentral:rRNA from 1 species
UACGUAGGGAGCAAGCGUUGUCCGGAAUCAUUGGGCGUAAAGCGCGCGUAGGCGGCCCUGUAAGUCCGUUGUGAAAGUCAAAGGCUCAACCUUUGAAAGCCGAUGGAUACUGCAGGGCUAGAGUACGGAAGAGGCGAGUGGAAUUCCUGGUGUAGCGGUGGAAUGCGCAGAUAUCAGGAGGAACACCAAUAGCGAAGGCAGCUCGCUGGGACGUUACUGACACUGAGGCGCGAAAGCGUGGGGAGCGAACAGG